GGCCCGUAUCGUGACAGGAGGCAGGAGCCGGUGGUGUUCUCCCGAGGCCCCGUGACACACGGGCCUGGUGCCGGACCCCCGGCGUCGAUCCAGGCCCCGGUGCCCGUUACGUAAGGGAGGGCAGUGCUCCCUGCCCGGCCGUGCUGCGGGGAGGUUGGCGCUGCCUUUUCCCGUGAGGGAGGCUUCGUCUUCUGAGGGCAGGGUGAAGCCUCUGGAGGGAACGAAGAGGGCUAGAGGUUGUCAGCCCGUUGCUGCUCGGUUUCCUUAAAAAUACCUGAAUGUGCUUCUUUCCAUGAAGCCUGAAAACAAAAAUAUAUGCAAUAGACCUAAACUUCACAAGCUCUACGUGCUUUCCUGUGGAGCCAGACCUGAUAUACCCUGGAGAGGACAUGGAUACUGGGAUAUUAAUUGGGAUAAUAAUGAGCCUUUGCAAUUUGAUGCUUCAUAGAUCGGGUCCAGAUCCUGUGGCUUGCUUGCAGGCGUGCUGAGUUCUGCAGCUGUGAAGAGGCAGUUUUAUGAAUCUGGCUUCUGACUGCAACUUUCUAGCUUAAAAAAAAAAGGGUUGGAACCACGUUUGUGGCACCCUGCCCCGUGGGACUUCAGUCCUGGCUGAGUUUGCACGGGAGGCUUGCCAUAGGUGUUAACAGAUCGGCACAGCUGGCUGAGAUUAGAUCUUGACAGAGCGUUGUGUGGUUUGUGGAUGCAGGUACGGCCCUCCGAGGAGUGAUUUAUAGACAGGGGCUGCUCCCACACCCAAGCACCGUGCAGUGACAGCUACAGGUACUCGGGGUAACUCGCAGUACCUCACGUGCUCACGGCAAAGCGAGUCAGAAGGAAGGGAAGCCUCGCUUUCUGGAGUUGCACCACAGGCUUGCAUCAUCUCAGUAAAUCUCUGUAGGAAGAGGCACGCAUGGAACGGUGGUGAGGGGACUGGGAUGUCCUGGGGCCGGGGGACAGCUGCGGCAGCACGCUGUCCUGGUCGGGGUCUGCUGAGACCUGCAGGGCUGUGCCCCGCGGGGGCACAACUGAGGAGCGCUCCCUUCUGUGGUGAGGAGUAAGGUGGCGGUGCCUCUCUCCUGCCAAAAACUGCCCACUGGGCAGAGUUGGAGACUUCAUAACGCGUGGCUUUGCUUUCCUUCUCCUCGGCCUGCUGGAAUGGAAAUUGGUGCACACCUUGUUCCUCCCCCCCCCCCCCCGGGAUCUCUGGUGCUUCUCCCUCUGUAUAAAGUGGUACAAGGAUUGUUCUUUUCAGUACUCUGCGGGUGCCCUGGGUGUGUUAAGUCUAAGCGUUGGAAUUUCUUAGCUGCUCAUUGUGGUACAAUCAUAUUUAAUUAUUCUGCAAAGAAGCCUUUGUGAAUUCAUAAAACGCAUUUGCUGGAAACCUAACCGGAAGAAACCCAACCAGGAGCAAAACAAACUGGGUUUUGUCGUCUUUCUGAAGGUUAUUUUUCCCUGAGUGUAGCAUUGUUUCCAGAUAAAGGACCUCUUCUUCCUUCGCUGCCCAAAUCUAAGUGGAAGCCAUGCUGCUGGAGCCCACUCUGUGUGUGCUGUGUGUCCUUCAGCAGCGCCGCCAGGAACGGCAGAGCAGCCCCCGGAGUCGGGGUUCUGCGGGUGUCACUUUGCAGCCAGGAGCUUCUUUAGGGUCUGCCCAGGUUUCCGAACGUCGCCUGACUUGUGCAAGUGUAGAUACACCGUCACCCUGGGAUCCAGCGAGUCCCGACUCUUCUGCUACAUAUUUAAAUAGCAGCACAGGUGUCACAAAAAACAUAGGUUAAUGCAGAAAUUGGGUAUAAUUACUGCUUCUGACUCACCCACCGGUUUACCUUUCUUCAAGCAGUCGGUUCCAGACAGUGAAAGCAGCGGUGGGAGAGAGGAUGCGUUUCUGAGGGAUCCCUCAGAACGGGCUGUGUCACGCUGAAAACGCGUCCCCUGCUCCCAGAACAUCCCCUUGCACGGCAGCGCUGACCUCUCCCUCCCCAGCUUUUCCAGACACAGGCACUUUGUUGCUCUGAAGCUGUGUUGCUUCAGUCACCAGAAGUCAUUUUCUGGGCUAUUCUCCUCGUUGCUAUGACAGCUGCAGGCACCACCAGCAACGCUUUAGUGCUCAGGGUCUGUUCAACAACGUGUGUCACCUCCACGCUUGUUAACUCACUGUUGAUGGGAGGGAGCCACAUCACCAAAAAAUGAUGUAGAAGUAGCCCAAAAGGGCUUGAAUUGUAAUACCCAGGGACUAACACAAAUAAAGAAGUGUUUUUG